AGACAAUGUUGAUGCCGUGUGCUGUCACUGUUCCCUUCAAACUGCAGCUUCCUCGGAGCCCCCAGAGAGGAUACAGGACACGCCCACUUUAUCUAAAGGCACUCUGGGAUCCUGAGAAGGAAGCACGCAUGCGCCCAGUGUUUGGGACUCCAAUGCCAGUGCUCUCCCUGCAGCAACACCAGCUCAAGGGAAGGAACAGGUGCACUCUGUCCUAUCCUAUCAUGAAGAACCAGACCCGGACCUAGGACUUCCCCAGCUUCAGCCUCAAGGCAGGCCCACGUGAGCCGGCACACACUCUCUUCCUGCCCCUGCACAGCAGCCCCUGUUCACAGCAGCCCUGCUCGCAGCACCCGCACCUCCAGUUUUCUUUGUCCAUCGCAUGUGCAUGCUGGAGGCAUCCUCAGCCCGGCCGGGCUUCCACAUCCGAGCUGGGACAACGAACGACAUGGAGAGAUGGAGUUCCAACCAUUGUGGACCUUCACUCCCCUCCAAAUGGGAACCCCCGAUUGUAGGAAACUGAGCUCAGCAAGGUAGUGGAGGGCCACCUCCGGACCCCUGCCACCCCAACUAGCUGGUCGUGAGUAGAAAGAACUAGUUUUAGCCGGAAAGUCCAGGUCUCCGGAGGUGACUGAGAGACUCACUGGGAGAGAAGGAGGGAGCGUGAGGGGCACAGAAUGAAACACACGGGAAGUCUGGGGGUGCAAGGCGAGGAAGGGGAAGGAUUCGAGAUGCCGAGCAACAAACAAACAAACAAAACAAUGCAACGAAGACGCAGAGAGCUUCGGGAGGAUGAAUCUUUCCCUAGGCACCCAGACCGAACUUGCAUCCCACCCCCAAGAUGAAGUUCCCGCUUCGUUCCUUACCCAGACCUUGGACGUCGGCACACCUGCCUGAGGCCACCGGUUUAGGGAGAAAGACUCGAGGCCUUAACUACCACCGCCCCCCACCCCGCCUGUGGCCUGACCUCAGCGAGCGAGGACUACGGGGUGGGGGAGCGCCGACUGGCAGCCUCCAGGCCAUCUACCUGGGCAGCGGGCCAGACCCGCCCGAGGCAGGCACAACCUGAGGCCCUGGUGAAGCUGGGGGUAGAAGCAGAUUGUCUUGAGACAGAUCUCGGUCGCCUUACCUGGAAGAACUCCAGCAGAAGGAGCGGGACACCGGGCCCAAAGUCAGGUUCUAUCUAGAGAUCCCAAACACUUGGAUUUGGUUUCAAAUACACUCUCUAUGCUCUACAGGUGGUAGGAGGGUAUCACGCCUUUGGAUGUUGAGGCGGGAGAAUGUGGAGAGAACCCUGUGUAUCCAGAGUCCAGGCUGAGAGAAACUAAAAUUAUCUUGGGCAGGUGAGGGCGGGGCCUGAGAGGCGCCCUGGAGAAGGAAGCGCUGGAGGAGGGGCGGAGACUCCGCACAAUGCACCGCCUGGGAUAGCUCUUGCCCUUCCUACCGGGCAGCAGGUGCCAGGGAGAGAGCAGGUGCCUGAGGAGAGGCUGGGAAGAGUAAAAAAGCACAGGCUGGAAAGAGAAAAAUCUAGUGUGGAGGCUGUUUGUUAGAUAAGAAAUGGCCCCGCCCACUCCUACUUGUCCCUGCCCAAUGAUGGUCAGUUCAUUGGUCAAGCUAAGGGGCGGUCUUCAGCUCGCCCCCAUC